rnacentral:rRNA from 1 species
AUUGAACGCUGGCGGCAGGCCUAACACAUGCAAGUCGAGCGGAGCGGCGGACGGGUGAGUAAUGCCUAGGAAUCUGCCUGGUAGUGGGGGAUAACGUCCGGAAACGGGCGCUAAUACCGCAUACUAUCAGAUGAGCCUAGGUAGGAUUAGCUAGUUGGUGGGGUAAAGGCCUACCAAGGCGACGAUACGUACCUGGUCUGAGAGGAUGAUCAGUCACACUGGAAAAGAGACACGCGCCCGACGCUCACGCGAGGCAGCGGUGGGGAAAAUUUGACAAUGGGCGAAAGCCUGAUACAUCCCUGCCGCGUGUGUGAAGAAGGUCUUCGGAUUGUAAAGCACUUUAAGUUGGGAGGCGUUACCAACAGAAUAAGCACCGGCUAACUUCGUGCCAGCAGCCGCGGUAAUAC